CGGGGAGUAGCUCAGCCUUGUAGAGCACUUGGUUUGGGACCAAGGGGUCGCAGGUUCGAAUCCUGUCUUCCCGA
rnacentral:tRNA from 1 species